AUUUCACUGCUGACAAGAAGGCUGCUGCCACCAGCCUGUGAAGCAAGGUUAAGGUGAGAAGGCUGGAGGUGAGAUUCUGGGCAGUCUCCUGGUUGUCUACCCAUGGACCUAGAGGUACUUUGAAAGUUUUGGAUAUCUGGGCUCUGACUGUGCAAUAAUGGGCAACCCCAAAGUCAAGGCACAUGGCAAGAAGGUGCUGAUCUCCUUCGGAAAAGCUGUUAUGCUCACGGAUGACCUCAAAGGCACCUUUGCUACACUGAGUGACCUGCACUGUAACAAGCUGCACGUGGACCCUGAGAACUUCCUGCUCUUAGGCAACGUGAUAUUGAUUGUUUUGGCAACCCACUUCAGCGAGGAUUUUACCCUACAGAUACAGGCUUCUUGGCAGUAACUAACAAAUGCUGUGGUUAAUGCUGUAGCCCACAAGACCACUGAGUUCCCUGUCCACUAUGUUUGUACCUAUGGUCCACUAUGUUUGUACCUAUGUCCCAAAAUCUCAUCUCCUUUAGAUGGGGGAGGUUGGGGAGAAGAGCAGUAUCCUGCCUGCUGAUUCAGUUCCUGCAUGAUAAAAAUAGAAUAAAGAAAUAUGCUCUCUAAGAAAUAUCAUUGUACUCUUUUUCUGUCUUUAUAUUUUACCCUGAUUCAGCCAAAAGGACGCACUAUUUCUGAUGGAAAUGAGAAUGUUGGAGAAUGGGAGUUUAAGGACAGAGAAGAUACUUUCUUGCAAUCCUGCAAGAAAAGAGAGAACUCGUGGGUGGAUUUAGUGGGGUAGUUACUCCUAGGAAGGGGAAAUCGUCUCUAGAAUAAGACAAUGUUUUUACAGAAAGGGAGGUCAAUGGAGGUACUCUUUGGAGGUGUAAGAGGAUUGUUGGUAGUGUGUAGAGGUAUGUUAGGACUCAAAUUAGAAGUUCUGUAUAGGCUAUUAUUUGUAUGAAACUCAGGAUAUAGCUCAUUUGGUGACUGCAGUUCACUUCUACUUAUUUUAAACAACAUAUUUUUUAUUAUUUAUAAUGAAGUGGGGAUGGGGCUUCCUAGAGACCAAUCAAGGGCCAAACCUUGAACUUUCUCUUAACGUCUUCAAUGGUAUUAAUAGAGAAUUAUCUCUAAGGCAUGUGAACUGGCUGUCUUGGUUUUCAUCUGUACUUCAUCUGCUACCUCUGUGACCUGAAACAUAUUUAUAAUUCCAUUAAGCUGUGCAUAUGAUAGAUUUAUCAUAUGUAUUUUCCUUAAAGGAUUUUUGUAAGAACUAAUUGAAUUGAUACCUGUAAAGUCUUUAUCACACUACCCAAUAAAUAAUAAAUCUCUUUGUUCAGCUCUCUGUUUCUAUAAAUAUGUACAAGUUUUAUUGUUUUUAGUGGUAGUGAUUUUAUUCUCUUUCUAUAUAUAUACACACACAUGUGUGCAUUCAUAAAUAUAUACAAUUUUUAUGAAUAAAAAAUUAUUAGCAAUC
rnacentral:lncRNA from 1 species